CCUACGGGAGGCAGCAGUGAGGAAUAUUGGUCAAUGGGCGCAAGCCUGAACCAGCCAAGUCGCGUGAGGGAUGACGGUCCUAUGGAUUGUAAACCUCUUUUGUCGGGGAGCAAGGCCCGCCACGUGUGGCGGGCUGGAUAGUACCCGAAGAAAAAGCAUCGGCUAACUCCGUGCCAGCAGCCGCGGUAAUACGGAGGAUGCGAGCGUUAUCCGGAUUUAUUGGGUUUAAAGGGUGCGUAGGCGGAAGGUUAAGUCAGCGGUAAAAUGUCGGUGCUCAACACCGGCCUGCCGUUGAAACUGGUAGUCUGGAGUGGGCGAGAAGUAUGCGGAAUGCGUGGUGUAGCGGUGAAAUGCAUAGAUAUCACGCAGAACUCCGAUUGCGAAGGCAGCGUACCGGUGCUCAACUGACGCUGAGGCACGAAAGCGUGGGGAUCGAACAGGAUUAGAUACCCGGGUAGUC
rnacentral:rRNA from 1 species